GGGUAACGAGUAAAGCAGCGAACGGGUGAGUAACGCGUAAGUUAUCUACCUUUAAAUCUGGGAUAACUACUCGAAAGGGUGGCUAAUACUGGAUAUACUCUUUUUAGAGGAAAGAUGGAUUACUAUCGUUUAAAGAUGAGCUUGCGUCCCAUUAGCUAGUUGGUAAGAUAACAGCUUACCAAGGCAACGAUGGGUAGCCGGCCUGAGAGGGCGAUCGGCCACACUGGGACUGAGACACGGCCCAGACUCCUACGGGAGGCUGCAGUGGGGAAUCUUCCGCAAUGGGCGAAAGCCUGACGGAGCAAUGCCGCGUGAGUGAUGAAGGCCUUAGGGUCGUAAAGCUCUGUCUUGAGGGAAGAACAACUUAGUAGUGAACAACUGCUAGGUAUGACGGUACCUCAAAAGAAAGCCCCGGCUAAUUACGUGCCAGCAGCCGCGGUAACACGUAAGGGGCAAGCGUUGUCCGGAAUUACUGGGCGUAAAGGGUGCGCAGGCGGUCUAGCAAGUCAGAGGUGAAAGCCACUAGCUCAACUAGUGAAAGUCCUUUGAAACUGUUAGACUUGAGAGUAGAAGAGGGAGAUGGAAUUCCUAGUGUAGUGGUGAAAUACGUAGAUAUUAGGAAGAAUACCAAUGGUGAAAACAGUCUCCUGGUCUGACUCUGACGCUGAGGCACGAAAGCUAGGGUAUCAAACGGGAUUAGAUACCCCGGUAGUCCUAGCUGUAAACGCUGGAUACUAGGUGUUGGGGGUUCAACUCCCU
rnacentral:rRNA from 1 species